AAAUUGAAGAGUUUGAUCAUGGCUCAGAUUGAACGCUGGCGGCAGGCCUAACACAUGCAAGUCGAACGGUAACAGGAAGAAGCUUGCUUCUUUGCUGACGAGUGGCGGACGGGUGAGUAAUGUCUGGGAAACUGCCUGAUGGAGGGGGAUAACUACUGGAAACGGUAGCUAAUACCGCAUAACGUCGCAAGACCAAAGAGGGGGACCUUCGGGCCUCUUGCCAUCGGAUGUGCCCAGAUGGGAUUAGCUAGUAGGUGGGGUAAAGGCUCACCUAGGCGACGAUCCCUAGCUGGUCUGAGAGGAUGACCAGCCACACUGGAACUGAGACACGGUCCAGACUCCUACGGGAGGCAGCAGUGGGGAAUAUUGCACAAUGGGCGCAAGCCUGAUGCAGCCAUGCCGCGUGUAUGAAGAAGGCCUUCGGGUUGUAAA
rnacentral:rRNA from 1 species